AUCCAGCUGGCAAGUCCCAAAUAGGAUGAAACGCGCAUCCUGGAU
rnacentral:hammerhead_ribozyme from 1 species